rnacentral:rRNA from 1 species
UACAGAGGUCCCAAGCGUUGUUCGGAUUCACUGGGCGUAAAGGGUGCGUAGGCGGUCGGAUAAGUCUGAUGUGAAAUCUUCGAGCUCAACUCGGAAACUGCAUCGGAAACUAUUCGGCUGGAGGAUUGGAGGGGAGACUGGAAUUCUCGGUGUAGCAGUGAAAUGCGUAGAUAUCGAGAGGAACACCAGUGGCGAAGGCGGCUCUCUGGACCACAACUGACGCUGAGGCGCGAAAGCUAGGGGAGCAAACAGG